UACGGAAGGGGCAAGCGUUGUUCGGAAUCAUUGGGCGUAAAGGGCGCGUAGGUGGUUCUGUAUGUCUACCGUGAAAGCAUACAGCUCAACUGUAUUUUGUCGGUAGAAACUGCAGGACUUGAGGCUGGGAGGGGCUGGUGGAAUUCCCUGUGUAGCGGUGAAAUGCGUAGAGAUGGGGGAGAACACUCGUAGCGAAGGCGGCCAGCUAGACCAGUUCUGACACUGAGGCGCGACAGCGUGGGGAGCAAACAGG
rnacentral:rRNA from 1 species